rnacentral:rRNA from 1 species
AUUGAACGCUGGCGGAAGGCCUAACACAUGCAAGUCGAACGAGUGCCGGACGGGUGAGUAAUGUCGGGGAAACUGCCUGAUGGAGGGGGAUAACUACUGGAAACGGUAGCUAAUACCGCAUACCAUCAGAUGUGCCCAGAUGGGAUUAGCUUUGUGGUGGGGUAACGGCUCACCAAGGCGACGAUCCCUAGCUGGUCUGAGAGGAUGACCAGCCACCCUGGAACUGAGACACGGUCCAGACUCCUACGGUAGGCAGCAGUGGUGAAUAUUGCACAAUGGGCGCAAGCCGUAUGCAGCCAUGCCGCGUGUAUGAAGAAGGCCUUCGGUUUGUAAAGUACUUUCAGCGGGUAGGCGUUACCCGCAGAAGAAGCACCGGCUAACUCCGUGCCAGCCGCCGCGGUAAUAC